CCACUAAUUGAAGUGCAUCAGGCCCUGCAGUGUGCAUGGAAGAGUGGGGAGCCUGUGGGGCAGAGGGCACAUGGUAACUCUCCAUAAUUUCUCCUCAAUUUUGCAGUUUUGAAACUAAAACUGCUCUAAAAAUAAAGUUUAUUAAUUAACUUUAAAAAGUUGUCAGGAAAGGACAUCUACAGUAGGUCAGAUAUUAUUAAUAACUAUUAUCAACACUGCAUUGUUAACAAGAAUACAAUGUUUUUAUAAGAUACUUAUGAGUAAAGAACAUGAAUAGUAUACAUCUAAUUUUUUAAUACUCCAUAUACAAUCAACAUGUUUUGAUCAACAGUGUAAACCAUAUAAAAGAGAAUCUUGCUUUCUAUUUGUACAAAUAUUGAUUUCAUCACAGAAAAACUUUAUAAUAUUAAAAUGUACCAUAUAUUAGAGGCUAUAAAGCUAUUGCUUGCUUGUUUAAAAAUGAAAUUACUGCUGCCUAAGGCUACUUGAUUACAUCACCUCUAAUAUGUCAUCAGAUCCACAGUACAUCUUCCUUUCCAAAAUUUCAUAUCAUACAGCAAGAUUACUUUGUAGCCGAAUUAAGUCAAAAGUAUUUCUUUAAGAAAAAAAUUAGUAAAUGCACCUAAAAAUGCAGUUUUAUCUACCAGGUGAUUAGAGUAGGGAUUCUUAGUACUUCUGAUGGCAAUUCAGACAGGAAUUUGUAACCUCAGAGGGCAUACUGUGCUUGUGAAGAGAAAAUAAUACUAGUUAUUGCUUUAGUUUUUAUCCUAUAUAUAUAUAUAUAUAUAUAUCAGUUCAGUUCAGUUCAGUCACUCAGUCGUGUCCGACUCUUUGCGACCCCA
rnacentral:lncRNA from 1 species